rnacentral:rRNA from 1 species
UACGGAGGGUGCAAGCGUUAAUCGGAAUUACUGGGCGUAAAGCGCACGCAGGCGGUCUGUCAAGUCGGAUGUGAAAUCCCCGGGCUCAACCUGGGAACUGCAUUCGAAACUGGCAGGCUAGAGUCUUGUAGAGGGGGGUAGAAUUCCAGGUGUAGCGGUGAAAUUCGUAGAUAUCGGGAGGAACACCAGUGGCGAAGGCGGCGAUCUGGGAAGAUACUGACGCUGAGGUGCGAAAGCGUGGGGAGCAAACAGG